UACGUAGGGCGCAAGCGUUGUCCGGAAUUAUUGGGCGUAAAGAGCUCGUAGGUGGUUUGUUACGUCUGCUGUGAAAACCUAGGGCUUAACCCUGGGCCUGCAGUGGAUACGGGCAGACUAGAGGUAGGUAGGGGAGAAUGGAAUUCCCGGUGUAGCGGUGAAAUGCGCAGAUAUCGGGAGGAACACCGGUGGCGAAGGCGGUUCUCUGGGCCUUACCUGACACUGAGGAGCGAAAGCGUGGGGAGCGAACAGGAUUAGGAA
rnacentral:rRNA from 1 species